GCAGCUUUAUGACGAUAAUCGCGUUGUUUAUUAUGUAGUCUGUGAUUUAGUUUGAAAAUAUGAUGUCUGCCGUGCCACGAAAGCUGUUACAAUUUUAGAUUAUUGUGUGCCAGCUGUUUGGUUGUCGUCAUUUUAAUUAUGUUCAGCUAUUUUAAACACAUCGACCAUGAACGGAGGCCACCAAUCUACCAAAGGAAGACAGAAAAAGCGAUGUUUCAUUUGUUGGACGGAACAGUACAUGCUGGCGGUCAUGAAUCUUUGUAGCUGCU